rnacentral:tRNA from 1 species
GGCUCCAUAGUGUGGUGGUUAACAUGUCUGCUUUACACGCAGAAGGUCCUAAGUUCUUUACACGCAGAAGUGUCCCAGGUGGAGCAA